UACGAAGGGGGCUAGCGUUGUUCGGAAUUACUGGGCGUAAAGCGCACGUAGGCGGAUUGUUAAGUCGGGGGUGAAAUCCUGAGGCUCAACUCCGGAACUGCCUUUGAUACUGGGGAUCUUGAGUCCGGAAGAGGUGAGUGGAACUCCGAGUGUAGAGGUGAAAUUCGUAGAUAUUCGGAAGAACACCAGUGGCGAAGGCGGCUCACUGGUCCGGUACUGACGCUGAGGUGCGAAAGCGUGGGGAGCAAACAGG
rnacentral:rRNA from 1 species